UACGUAGGGACCAAGCGUUGUUCGGAUUUACUGGGCGUAAAGGGCGCGUAGGCGGCUUGUCAAGUCACUUGUGAAAUCUCUGGGCUUAACCCAGAACGGCCAAGUGAAACUGACAUGCUAGAGUGCAGAAGGGGCAAUCGGAAUUCUUGGUGGUAGCGGUGAAAUGCGUAGAUAUCAAGAGGAACACCUGAGGUGAAGACGGGUUGCUGGGCUGACACUGACGCUGAGGCGCGAAAGCCAGGGGAGCAAACGGG
rnacentral:rRNA from 1 species